rnacentral:rRNA from 1 species
UUCGCCUGGUUACAAAAACAUGGCCUUACGUUGAUAAUUUAAGGUCUAGCCUGCCCACUGAAAAUUUAAAUGGCCGCAGUAUUUUGACUGUGCAAAGGUAGCAUAAUCAUUAGUUUUUUAAUUGAAAGCUGGAAUGAAAGGUUGAAUGAGAAAAAAACUGUCUCUAUUUAAAUUAUUAAAGAAUUUUAUUUUUAAGUUAAAAAGCUUAAAUUUUUUUAAAAGACGAGAAGACCCUAUAGAGUUUUAUAAAAUUUAAAUAAUGAAGUUUUUAGAAUUUUAAUUUUUAUUAGUUAAUUUUUAUUUGAUUGGGGUGAUUGAAAAAUUUAAUAAACUUUUUUUUUAGAAAAACAUUAAUUUAUGAAUAUUUGAUCCAUUAAUUAUGAUUAAAAGAUAAAAUUACCUUAGGGAUAACAGCGUAAUUUUUUUUUAGAGUCCAAAUUAAAAAAAAAGAUUGCGACCUCGAUGUUGGAUUAAAAUUAAUUUUUGGUGCAGAAGCUAAAAUAUGUUUGGUCUGUUCGACUCCAUUAAUA